rnacentral:lncRNA from 1 species
UGCGGCUCAGAUCUGGCGUUGCUGUGGCUGUGGCUGUAGGCCAGUGGUUACAGCUCCGAUUCAAGCCCAAGCCUGGGAACCUCCAUAUGCGUGGGUGUGGCCCUAAAAAAAAAAAAAAAAAAAAAAAGAGUUUCAGAGAGCUUAAUCUGGCAUGGACUUAAUUUCUAAACUUAUAUCAGGCUCUCCACCACUCCUGUGCCUCUCUGGGUGGGGCCUCUCUUCCCACCAGCCCUGACAGUCUCCCUCUAGUGCCUGGGCCCUCUCCUGUCUAAGGGAUUGAACCCGAGCCUUAGCAGUGACAAAGCCAGAUUAUUAACCCUGGGCCACCAGGGAACUCCCGGGAAAUUUCUUAUAUAGGCUUGGCCUUUUGGAGUAACUCCAACCUUUAGCUUUCCUCAGCCCUGGGAAGGAGGAAGCUGGUGAAGAAGUUGAGGCCCAUUUCUCCAGACCUGUGGAGGUCACGUUCGUGAACAGGAUCAGAGCCACUCUGGCACUCAGUGGCUCAUCUCUAGAGAGAAGAAGCCAGGAGUUCCCGUCAUGGCGCAGCAGAAACAAUCCGACUAGGAACCAUGAGGUUGCGGGUUCGAUCCCUGGCCUCAUUCAGUGGGUUAAAGAUCCGGUGUUGCUGUGAGCUGUGGUGUAGGCCGGCAGCUGUAGCUCUGAUUUGACUCCUAGCCUGGAAACCUCCAUAUGCCAUGGGUGCAGCCGUAAAAAGAAAAAAAAAAAAAAGAGAGAGAGAGAGAGAAGCAGCCAAGCCUAGGAUAUAAGCUGGGCACAUGUGUCCCCACGUCCUUAUCUGUAGUACAGGUGUAAUGAGAGUCCCUCGUAGGGUGGUUGAGAUGAUUAUCGGCUCAUGUACAGUGCUUAAGUCAGUUACUGAUACACAAUAAGCCCCAAGUAUAUGUUAGUUUCCCUGCUGUCACUGUCCUUUUAUCUUGGUCUUGUACUAGGAUCAGCGAGGAAACUUUCCUGUUUAACUAGACCUUCUUGCCA